rnacentral:misc_RNA from 1 species
AACGAGGCCGACCUGCGGCUGAGUUACCUGCGGAAGGAUCAUUAAAAAGAGUGUGUACCCCUCUGUAAAAUGAGUGGGUUACCUCCCGUCCUUUGUUGACCUCUUAGGAGGUUAUUUUGAACUUUCUGCUUCGGUGGGGUUAAACCUACCGGAACACCCUCAAAUUCUUAUCAUUUAAAAAUUGUUCAGUCUGAUUUUUGUUAAUAAAAACAAAAAACUUUUAACAAUGGAUCUCAGAUC